rnacentral:lncRNA from 1 species
AUAUCUUUAACAUCCUUACAAGUAGCUUGAGAAAGGUUUUAAUUGAUGAUAGCAUUAUCACAUAUACGAAAGAGAUAUGCAAACAAAACAUGCAAAAUAUGAAACGAAAUGAGAAUUCUAUAUAACAAAAUGAAAGAUAAUAAUAACAAAAAGACAGACUGUCUACAAACCACAACAUAGAAUAAAAUGAGUAAGCCAAACGAAAAUGUGAGUACAAUGCACAGGAACUUUAAAAGUUUGCUUAAUUUGUCAUUAUCUGUAGACAUGGUUAAGUGGCAUCUUCUUUGAAUAAUAAAAC